UGGGGAACAUUGCACAAUGGGCGCAAGCCUGAUGCAGCCAUGCCGCGUGUGUGAAGAAGGCCUUCGGGUUGUAAAGCACUUUCAGCGGGGAGGAAGGCGAUAAGGUUAAUAACCUUGUCGAUUGACGUUACCCGCAGAAGAAGCACCGGCUAACUCCGUGCCAGCAGCCGCGGUAAUACGGAGGGUGCAAGCGUUAAUCGGAAUUACUGGGCGUAAAGCGCACGCAGGCGGUCUGUCAAGUCGGAUGUGAAAUCCCCGGGCUCAACCUGGGAACUGCAUUCGAAACUGGCAGGCUAGAGUCUUGUAGAGGGGGGUAGAAUUCCAGGUGUAGCGGUGAAAUGCGUAGAGAUCUGGAGGAAUACCGGUGGCGAAGGCGGCCCCCUGGACAAAGACUGACGCUCAGGUGCGAAAGCGUGGGGAGCAAACAGG
rnacentral:rRNA from 1 species